rnacentral:lncRNA from 1 species
GGCCCGGCUGCGUUAAUGUUGGCAUGGGCUCGCUGGACGACGAUCGGCGGCGACGAGCGCCGUCUCCUGCUCCUGCCGAGGAGAUGACUGACUCAUGAGGACAGACGACGACGGCCCUCUCUUAUUCGCUCCGCAUCGUCUCGUCCUCUUGUUUGGAGCGAAAGAAAUACAUGGAGAGAUGACCAGCCUGAAGGUUGCCGAGGAGUGGAUGGUGGAUGAACUUGAUUUCAG